rnacentral:tRNA from 1 species
GCUCUAGUAGCUUAAACUAUUUAAAGCCCUGGUCUUGUAAACCAAAGAUGAGACACAGCCUCCUAGAACA